rnacentral:sRNA from 1 species
CAGAAGUCGAGCAUCGCUUUCCAGGAC